rnacentral:snRNA from 1 species
GUGCUUGCUUCGGCAGCACAUAUACUAAAAUUGGAACGAUACAGAGAAGAUUGGCGUGGCCCCUGCGCAAGGAUGACACAGAAAUCGGGAAGCGUUCCAUAGUUUG